rnacentral:ncRNA from 1 species
GGUCCUGAUUUGCAAAUAUGGCAAGAACUAAAAAAUACACAUGGUUUUUAUAGAAAGAAGCGAGGUAGGAAAAUGAAUGAUUUUAGUACAUAGUUUAAGAUUUAUUUUUUUCUUAAGGUAUUAUAAAGAUAUAAAAUGCCUUGAAAAGUCCCGUUAACACCAGUGCUGAAGUUUAAUUAAAAAGUGAAAACUUGUAUUAAUUUAGUUGAUUAAAUUUGGUUAACUUUGGUGCCAGCAUCCGCGGUUACACCAAGAAAUUAAGUCAUAUUUAAAUGGUAAAAAGACAGUUAGACAUUGAAUAUUCAAAGCUUUUUGACUUUUUAUAGAGAAGUAAAAUUUAUAUAUAAAUAUGUAAUUUAACAAUAGCUGUAAAGUUGAAUCCGUGAAAGCCCCGAGGGAAACUGGGAUUAGAUACCCCAUUAUUCCUGGCUAUAAAUAAAUUAAAAUUUACCGGAGUACUAUGAAUAUUAUAAAAUUUAAAACUCAAAGGACUUGGCGGUGUUUUAGACCAUUUAGGGGAACCUGUCUUGUAAUCGAUAAUCCACGUUAUACCUGACCUUUCUUUGCUUUCAGUUUGUAUAUCGUUGUCGUCAGGUAACUUUUUAGAAAUUAGAAGUUAGCUAAAAACAGUAAAUUUAAACGUCAAAUCAAGGUGCAGCUAAUAGAAAGGUAAAGAUGGGUUACAAUUAUUUUAGUUAUAAUUAACGGAAAAUCAUGCGAACUGAUGAUAGAGAAGGAGGACUUAAAAGUAAAUUAAAUUAUAUAAAUAAUUUGAAUAAGGCUCUGAAAUGUGCACACAUCGCCCGUCGCUCUUGUUGGAAAAUAAGAUAAGUCGUAACAUAGUAGGGGUAAUGGAAAUUGUCCCUAAACU